AUUUUAUUUUCAAGCUCUCAAAUGAUCCAAUUGUUGAUCGGUAGUGAUGGAAAAAAUCAACUCCUAUGAGAAAAGAAGCCCUUUCUCAUUGGAGAGGACAAGCAUUUUGCACUACUGCUGCUGUCCUAGGAGGAAAGAGCUGGGCAUCUCAGAUAUCUGAGUUCUAUCCAAUCAGAGAGUAAUAUGAAAAUAAGGGUUUUUAAGAUCUAUAUUAAUAUUAUACCAUGUACUACCUUAAGAAAUUUUCUAUUUAUCCUUUUUAUAUAAUAUAUUAUUACAAUAUCAGAUAUCAAUCAGAUUGAUUUACUUAGGUUAAAGUUUGAGUCAGAUAUCAAUCAGUAAUCUCAUUGAUUUUUCUUACAAGAUGGACAAGAUUCUAAAGAUCCAAAGCAAAGCACUGCUGAUAUGACAGUUUUUGCCCAUUGGCUAUGCUGCUCUUUGCAUCAGUAACCUUUGUUUCUGCCUUCUCUCUGUGCCACUGUUACAGAUCGCCCGGUCCAGGGCCCAAGAGAAAUCCCUCCUACCUAGAAGCUGUUCGGACGAUUUUAG